AGAGUUUGAUCAUGGCUCAGAAUGAACGUUGGCGGCGUGGAUUAGGCAUGCAAGUCGAGCGGAAAGGCCCCGCACAUAAAUUGCACUGACGGAGUUCGAUCGGUUGGAUCGCGCUUUUAGUGUGAUUUAUGUGCGGGGUACUCGAGCGGCGAAAGGGAGAGCAACGCGUGGAUAACCUACCCCUUGGUUCGGGAUAGCUGCGGGAAACUGCAGGUAAUACCGAAUAACGUCUACGGACCAAAGGUGUGACUCCGCCGAGGGAGGGGUCCGCGUCCUAUUAGCUUGUUGGUGGGGUAACGGCCUACCAAGGCAACGAUGGGUACCGGGUGUGAGAGCAUGGCCCGGCUCACUGGGACUGAGACACUGCCCAGACACCUACGGGUGGCUGCAGUCGAGAAUCUUCGGCAAUGGGCGCAAGCCCGACCGAGCGACGCCGCGUGCGGGAUGAAGGCCUUCGGGUUGUAAGCCGCUGUCAGAGGGGAUGAAAUGCCGGAGGGCUAUCCCUCCAGUUUGACAUAUCCUCAAAGGAAGUACGGGCUAAGUUCGUGCCAGCAGCCGCGGUAAGACGAACCGUACAAACGUUAUUCGGAAUUACUGGGCUUAAAGGGUGCGUAGGCGGCUUGGCAAGUUGGGUGUGAAAUCCCUCGGCUCAACCGAGGAACGGCGCCCAAAACUGCCAGACUUGAGGGAGACAGAGGUGAGUGGAACUUAGGGUGGAGCGGUGAAAUGCGUUGAUAUCCUAAGGAACACCAGUGGCGAAAAGCGACUCACUGGG
rnacentral:rRNA from 1 species